ACCCAGACUCCUACGGGAGGCAGCAGUGAGGAAUAUUGGUCAAUGGCCGAGAGGCUGAACCAGCCAAGUCGCGUGAGGGAAGACGGCCCUACGGGUUGUAAACCUCUUUUGUCGGGGAGCAAAGCGAACCACGUGUGGUUCAUUGAGAGUACCCGAAGAAAAAGCAUCGGCUAACUCCGUGCCAGCAGCCGCGGUAAUACGGAGGAUGCGAGCGUUAUCCGGGUUUAUUGGGUUUAAAGGGCGCGCAGGGGGAGGUGCAAGUCAGCGGUCAAAUUGGGGGGCUCAACCCCGUACUGCCGUUGAAACUGCAGCCCUUGAGUGCGCGAGAAGUAGGCGGAAUGCGUGGUGUAGCGGUGAAAUGCAUAGAUAUCGCGCAGAACUCCGAUUGCGAAGGCAGCAUACCGGCGCGCAACUGACGCUCAUGCACGAAAGCGUGGGUAUCGAACAGGAUUAGAUACCCCAGUAC
rnacentral:rRNA from 1 species